rnacentral:rRNA from 1 species
AUGGGUGAGCAAAGGGAUUCGCUCUCAUUAGCGGAGGGGCCACCACUGCCCAACCCGGAUAUGCAGACAGCUCCAGCCUCUCGAAUCGAGGCAAGCCAGAUAGAUGUUCCAUCUGCCAUCAUUGCGGAGAAGGAGGUGGGAGAGCCAGUGGGGGUUGACCCUAUGGCGCUAAUCCUGGAGAUUCCAUUGAUGGAAUCAAGGGCGCAUGAUCCCAAUAACGUGAUCCUGGCUGUGUCCCCCAUGCAUGCAGUGAACGUGGAGGUGGGCCCACUGGACGAGUCCCAUGCAAACCCCCGCGCUCUGGAUGAGUCUCAUGCUGAUCCCCGUGCUCAUAAAAUAAUGGGCGCUGCUGCCACUUAUGUGCCUCCUGAUUUGGGCGCUGCUGAUACUACGGCAACAGUGGAGUGUGGAACUCAAGCCCUCACCCUAAGCCUGACGGGGUUUCCGGAUGACAUGAAGGACGUGGAGACCCGCAAGCAAGUGGAGUUGGCCGCGCUGACUGAAGGGAUGACUAGCCAAGAGGCAGUAGCCUUUGCAAAGCUGAAAUCCUUCUGCGCUAAUAUUGUCAAAAGGCUUGCCCCACCAUUGCUCAAAGAGGUCCAGGCAUAG